GGCAAGGUGGCCGAGCGGUCUAAGGUGAGCCCUCUUGUUUAUCGCUCCCAGUACGCAUAGCGUGCGCGAGUUCGAAUCUCGCCCUUGUCA
rnacentral:tRNA from 1 species